GAGACACUCGGCGGCUGCCUGCUCCGUCUGCAGGAGCCAUCUUGUUAUGUCUGUAGUAAAAAGGUACAUGUGUCUGGUCUCACUCUGGCUUCCUGCAGUACUCGGGCUGCAGCGCGCUCACAAAGACAGUGACACCCGCAGCUGCGGCUGUGCAAGCAGCGCUGUCUGGCGUUAGCAGUGACCCCAGGCUGUAGGAAGUAGCUGUUUUUGCCAGGACGCAGCGUGUCAGUAAAUGGUGCAAACUGCAACACACACAGACAAGAAGCUGCAAUGCACAAACCAGCAGAAACCAAACAGAAGGCACAGAGAAUAAAGACACAAUCACUAGAGCUGAAGUUGCUGAUACCCAGGUGUAUGUGCUAAGCUUAGACCUGCUGUGGGGCAGUAUCUCCAGUGCAAGAGACUGACCAGUCUGCUUUAGUAGCAAGGCUGCUUUUCUAACUGCUGAAAUCAUUGAGAGUUGUGUUAAGUAAAGGGACAUCAAGGCAUUGCAGAGGUUGCAGUAAAGUGGCACAAUGGUGGCGUGAACAAUGAUGCAGGCAGAGGCCAGUGGCCUAGUGACUGACAAUGAAGCAGCCAGCGGCACGGUGAACGAUGAAGCGGUGACAGCAGCAGGCAGCAACACAGCGUGAAUGGUGCAGCAGCAGCUGAGGCAUUGGUCGGCCCCUCCCCCAUCCUACCAAGAUGGGAGGCGAACUCACCGGAACGCUCCUCUGAAUUCUGCAUCUUUGCUGACCAAGUACAACUGUGUUUAUAGAGCACCAGCACCACAGAAACCAGGCACUGUAUUAAGAGGCCUCCACUCAAGCCCUGUCCCUCCAGGGGGCCUUUCGCUACCCUCUCUUUUCCAUGUCAUUAAGUUAUCACAGUGCAACAGGUAAAUCAGAAAGAUCUUCACAGGCUAUUCGUGCUCUGGAGCAGAACGUUUCCUCCUCAUUCGUGGUCCAGACUAAUCCAGUCUCUCUCAUUUCAGUUAUGCCAGGACGUGCAAUAGCUCCAGUAUGGCCAUUGUUGAUGGCAAGAUGUUCUCAGGCUUCAUCCCUUCAGAUCAUCCUGGUAGAAGCCUUGUUUAAAGCUUCAGGAUGAUCGUGUGAUGAUGCAGGUGGAAACCAAGAACAACUGUGUCCCCUUCUACAUGGAGAACAUAAAUUCAAAAAGAAAUUUUUCCCUCUGGUGUUAUAUAUGUCUACAAGUUUUAAACAGAUGCCUUUUGAAAAUUUUUAGUCUCAAGGCCAAAAAUCUUAACAAGACAACUGUAAAGAAACUGAUCAGGUGAACGGGGACUCUCUGGGCUCUCACCUCUGCCAUGCAAGGUCUCUCAGAAGAAUAUCAGUUUAUCUUUCUCAGCUGAGCAAGAACUUCCUGUGUCCAACAUCAAACCAGUUUCAGUGCUGAUCUACGGUUACUAUAAAAGAGCUGUAGGGACAGAAACAAACUCUGCAUCUUUCCACCGAGGAGGCAAGAGGUCAGCAUACUUGUAUCAUGAAUGGAAAAUCACAGCCUAGGUUGGCUGUAAUACACUGGAAGGAUUUGGGGCAAACACGUCUUGUUGAGUGCCGCACAGCCUGUGGUCAGACAUCUCACCCGGAAAGCAGCUGCAAGUCUGCAGCGAUUAGAGCAACAUGACAAACAUGGAAUGUGAACUGAGGAAAGAAGCCAGACAGCUUAUUUCCCUCUGACUAUAGACUCUUAGUAAAUGUUACACUUACAAUCUGAUUGACUGCAUGCUGUGACUGUCCAGUGGUAACUUGGCUAGAUUCAACCCUAGUGUUUAUAUCCCCUCCAUGAACUCCCUCCAGCUCUAAGACCACACAUGACCCUGGUUCCACACAGACUGAGAACAGUAGUUGGUCAAAGCAUGUAACAUUCCCCAUAAUAAACUUCUCAAAUUCCA